GGGAGGUUCAUAUAGUGGUCAAGUAUGCACGACUUAUAAUCGUGUCACAGGUGUUCGAAUCACCUACCUCCUACCA
rnacentral:tRNA from 1 species